CCAUGUCCGUCAAUGUAUGUGCGGGCUACUGGUGUGCCGACUCCAUGAGGGUGACAUGAGGGCCCGAUGUCCUCUAGUGGGACCUGAGCUCUCAGCCCAGCACCAUGCAGCUUAAUUGGCAUUUGACGGAGAACACCAGAAUUGGCAGGUCUGUUAUUUGGCGCCUGGUCUCUUCAAAUGUGACAAACAUGAAAGAGUCUGGAGAUGCCGUGGUGAACAUUAUGCAGCCUACAACUAAAUCCAGCAUGACCGGUUUGGUGGUGGGUCAGUGAUGACCUGGGGAGGCAUAUCCUUGGAGGGUCAGACCUCCACGUGCUAGCCAACGGUAUCCUGACUGCUGUUAGAUGAAUUAUUGCCUGUCCUAAAUGUACAGUUCUGGAAAAAAUUGAGACCACUGCCCCUUUUUCCUUUCCAAAAAAGUGGGAAAGGAACGUUUUGAGUGAGGAACAGAGGUUCAAUUUGCAGUGGUCUCUUCAUUUUAACCCUUCUGUUCUUCACUAAAAACCUUCCUCUUUGACUUUUUUGGAAAGGAAAAAGCUGCAGUGGUCUAAAUUCUUUCCAGAGCUGUAUUUAUACUGUAUAUUAAUGUAAGUUGCUCUAGAUAGGAAAAUGUGUGCAAUUAUUCCGAUGCGCAAGAGACUAAAUCAGAGUAAGAUGGGUAAGAGAUGUUUAUAGAGAGCAUUGAAGGGAUUAUCAAGAUUGACUAUCUAGUCAGUCUGUUGUCUACCAUUGUUUUAUUGGCUAGGUGAUUAAAAACCUGCUGAAAUCAUGUUUUCUCUCUCCACUGUCCCUUUUAUACACUGCCAUGUUUUCAAUGCCUAACAUUUUUCAU
ensembl:lncRNA